GUGGAUUAGAUACCCUAGUAGUCCACGCCGUAAACGAUGGAUGCCAGCCGUUAGGCAGCUUGCUGCUUAGUGGCGCAGCUAACGCUUUAAGCAUCCCGCCUGGGGAGUACGGUCGCAAGAUUAAAACUCAAAGGAAUUGACGGGGGCCCGCACAAGCGGUGGAGCAUGUGGUUAAUUCGAAGCAACGCGCAGAACCUUACCAGCCUUUGACAUGCCUCGGACGGAUAGCAGAGAUGCUUUCUUCUCUUCGGAGCCGGGGACACAGGUGCUGCAUGGCUGUCGUCAGCU
rnacentral:rRNA from 1 species